GUAGUGGACCAAGUGUUCAGGAGGCAA
rnacentral:piRNA from 1 species